rnacentral:rRNA from 1 species
AUAUGUUCUUCGUGAACAUGGCGUACUGCUCAGUAACACGUGGAUAACCUGCCCUUGGGUCCGGCAUAACCCCGGGAAACUGGGGAUAAUUCCGGAUAACGCACAUAUGCUGGAAUGCUUUAUGCGUCAAAUGGAUUCGUCUGCCCAAGGAUGGGUCUGCGGCCUAUCAGGUAGUAGUGGGUGUAAUGUACCUACUAGCCGACGACGGGUACGGGUUGUGAGAGCAAGAGCCCGGAGAUGGAUUCUGAGACAUGAAUCCAGGCCCUACGGGGCGCAGCAGGCGCGAAAACUUUACAAUGCGGGAAACCGUGAUAAGGGGACACCGAGUGCCAGCAUCAUAUGCUGGCUGUCCGGGUGUGUAAAAUACACCUGUUAGCAAGGGCCGGGCAAGACCGGUGCCAGCCGCCGCGGUAACACCGGCGGCCCGAGUGGUGAUCGUGAUUAUUGGGUCUAAAGGGUCCGUAGCCGGUUUGGUCAGUCCUCCGGGAAAUCUGACGGCUUAAC